UGGUGAGGUCGGUGACGGAACGCUGAGUCUCCUCAGCCUUGCUCCGGUGCUCAUUCAUCUGGUCUUCCAAGGUCCGGCACAUCUUCUCGAGAUGUGGCCCCACCGGCCUCCUCCAGCCGCUCACUGAUCUCCUCCAGUUCACGGGACAGGUCCGAGCGCAGCUUCUCUACCUUGGCCCUGGCUGUGCGCUCGGCCUCCAGUUCCUCCUCCAGCUCUUCGAUGCGUGCCUAGUCAGGGACACGGAGGUUCAGACCGGCUUCCUGGACCCCUCCACUGAGGGCCUCCUGAUGUCCCCCACCCCAGGGUUCUAAAGGAUCCCAUGUAGAACACCAAGUCCAUGAUGCUCUCCUGGGUCAGCUUCAGGUCACCCUCCAGCUUCCGCUUGGCUCGCUCCAGGUCCAUGCGCACCUUCUUCUCCUGCUCCAGGGAUCCCUCCAGCUGGCAGAGAGAAGGGCCAGCUGUGUACCACGAGGGCCUGGGAGCAACGCUGGCACCCAGCCGCUGGACAGCGCACAGUCAGUCCUUGUUCCUGCCGCAUGACCUGUGCAAGCUCCGCUGCUCCAUGUCUAGGCAACCGCUUCACAGUUUGGUUUGAAAUCCCCCCCUCCUUUUUUCCCCCCCAAGCACAGCUCUGAGUGCCUGCGGAUUAAUCCAGUUGAUUCAGUGUUUGAAGGAGAGAGACAGGCUUGGGGGAUGGGGCGCAAAGCAGGUACAUUUUGAAGGUGGGAUGGGCACAGCAGGGAAGGGGAAUUCCAGGAAGGGCUGCUCUGGGGUUUCUUGGUAACCAAAGCACAGCCUAAGGACACAGAGCAGCCCUGUUUACAGUGCAGAGUCGGGGGAUAAACCACAGACCAUGGAGGCUGCAUCCCACGGCAGCUGCAGCUCUGCAGUCCUCAAGCAUGAAGUUGCAUUUGCUAAGGAACAGGUUCCGCUGCUGACAUGCUCAAGAGAACAAAUUCUGGGGGGUCCCUUCCAGACCCUGCCAGAUAUUAAUAGAUGGGGCUCACUAGGAGGAACCUCGAGCACUGGAGGAAGGCAGCAUCUCUUUCAUAUGCUUUUAGCUUUCUAAGCACAAAGUAUGAAGGUGGCAUCCUGCCCAGCUCAGGGGCAGGGCUCAGGCACAGGGGCAUGCAACUGAGAUGAUAAAAAAUAGCUGGAACACAGGUGAGCCAUUUUAAAGUGCGUGUCUUUAGGGCCAGCCUGCAUGGCUGGGGAUUGGCUGAGGGAUGACUAGGAAGCUGUCUCUACAAUCAGUAACUUAAUCAGGUUUGGAGGGUUCUGGUCUAUGGGUGUUUAGGUGUAUUGCUUUCAACGCCCCACGCAGAAUAUAAAUCACUUUCCUAACUUUAAGUUCCAUGUCUCAUAUCCCAGACCCGAGGAUCUGUUGCCCUUCAAAAUUCUUACUCUGUCUCCAGCCCCUCCGACACCUGCUUUCGAGUCUUCUGUUUGCUGCUGCUGCUGUUGGAAGGUUGGGUGGCUUUGCCCACCCUUUCCUAAGCAAGCAUUUAUUGAGUGUCUACUAUGAGCUUGGCGCUGUUCUAGUCAAUGGGAAAUAGGGAACAAUGAACCAAAGCGAAGACGCCUGCCCUGGGCAGCUUCG